GCUCCUCCACCGUGAGUGUGCGGCGGCUGCCCGCCUGGGGGAUCCUCACGCGGUUCCACGGCUCCGCUCCGGGCCGCGCCGCGGCGGCCAUCUUCAGCGGCGCUGGAGGGCCUGGGAGGGCCGAGCCCGGCGAGACCAGCAUAACUGAGCUUCCAUCUGGACCAUCUCCCGAACAACCUCACUUCUUCAGUCAGCUCUGGAUCUAUUAGCUUUGAUAAUUCUUCCUAAACACCUGUCCUCACUAUUUCCAUUCCCCUUUAAUGCACUACCAUUGUGCCCCCAUUCUUAAAUGUAUAUUUGUGUUUUGACUGUAUGUAUGUCUGUGUGAGGGUGUCAGAUCUCCUAGAAAGGGAGUUACAGACAGUUCUGAGCUGCCAUGUGGGUGCUGGGGAUUGAACUUGCAUCCUCUGGAAGAGCAGUCAGUGCUCUUAACUUUAAGCCAUCUAUCUCUCCAGCCCUACAUUGUGCCCUUUUGAUGGCCUGUACACUAGUCUCCGAUUUUAGCUGUGACAAAUUACCAAGAACUUAACAGAUUGAACCAACACAAAGUUACUGGAUUUGUGGAAAACAGAAAAUCAUUUUUUUGUGUGUGGGGGUGGGGGGGACAGCUAAUGCAUGUGUGUCCAUGGCUGUGUGGAGGCUAAGGGUAACGGUUAGACUUAGGUUGAGACCCCUUUGGGGAUCAAACGAACCUUUCACACAGGGUCACCUAAGACCAUCAGAAAACAGAUAUUUGCAUUAUAAUUCAUAACAGUAGCAAAAUAACAAUUACGAAGUAGCAACAAAAAAUAAUUUUAUGUUGUGGAUCACCACAGCCAUAUUAUCUGAGACAGAUAAUAGAAAGAAAAGAUAGAUACAGAUAAGGAUAUGUCUGUGGUACAACGAUAGAAAGGGAGUGUAAGAAUAUGAGGUCUGUGUUCCCAUGAAGAAGGUCUGAGGUCCUAAAGAAGAGUGAAGACAAGAAGGUGGUGUUGUGUGAGCGUGCAUAUUGAAGUCGAAGCUUCCGGAAGUGGGCAUAAGGAAAGAGCGCUAGGCAGCUUUUCAAGUCAGGCUUAAAGAAUUUUAGAUUCCAGAGAAAGACUGUCCCAGACAUAGAAGACCACAAAUAUGUAACCCUUACAUACCUCAGUAAUCCAAGACAUGCAUAUUAAAAUAAUUUUGAGAUACUAUUAAAUAGAAUAAAUGGCUGGUGUGUUACUGGAGCUUUGUGCAUGUGUGUGCACACAAAAUACAAAGAUCUUUUCUAGUCCUGAAAAUAGAAAAUAAGAUGAGCUUGUUGCACAUAUGUAAUAUUAGCCCUCAAGAGACUAAGGCCAGGAGGGGGCUACAGCUGGGAUACAAAGUGAAUAAAGUAUAAUUAAUAAAAAUUAAAAAAGAUUAGCCAUCAUAGCAUGAAUGCAUUGAAGCAACACAUAGUAUAAAUAUAUAUAUGUAAUUUGAUGUAGCUUAAAUAAAAACUUCAAACACCAUGUUUCAAAAUAAUAUUUCAAAGUAUUGUGCAGAUCCCAAAUUCACUGUACUGUUUUUUGAGCAAAUUCUAAUAUAAAACACCGCAUGUUAGACAGAUGGCUCACUGGUUAAGAGUCAGUACUGUUCUCCCAGAGGAUAUGAGCUUGGUUCAAAGCACCAUUUCCAGAGGGAGGCUCACAGCUGGCUGUAACUGCAGCUCUAGGGUCUCCAGUGCCUCUGGCGCUGUGGACACCAGUACUCACGUACAGCUACUCACACCCGUCCAUACGUAUAAUACAAUUAAAAAUAAAAUCUUCGGAAAAAAGAGACUAAGGCAAGUGGAUCUCCUUGAGUUUGAGUUACAAACUGAGUUACUGCAAUACCCUGUCCCAAAUUGAAAACAGAAAACAGGAAAUUACAGUGAUUACACUAUAUCCUCACAAGAAAUCUGUUGUUUUCUAAUGGUUUGGCAGUAAAGUUCUCCCCCUCCCCCCCAAAAAAAUCUCAAAAUGUGUAAAACAAAUAGUUAAAAGAAUUGUAGUAGCUGAGGGUGAUGAUGGGCCCUCCUGUUAAGACCUCCUGUCUUAGUUCCCAUAAGUGAUUCACAAGCCCAUGCUUGGGGAUGGUUUGCUAUCCUCUGGUAUAAAUAAGUAUGUACUGAUAAGAGCAAUUUUUGAAGCUACAUUAAGGUGUUUUUUUUUUUUAAUUAUUCUAUCCAAUAUCUGAGUUUUGCCAGAUUGUGUGUGUGUAUGUAUGUAUGUAUGUAUAUUCUGCUGCCUGGUGCUGAUGGCAGUCAGAAGAGAGUAUUAGGUCCUCUGGAACCACCCAAGACUGUGUGUAUGGGGGGGGGAUGGAGAGGAACAGAGGGAGGUGUUCUCAGGAGCCUGUACACUCAGAGGCACAUACCUUAUUAAGGCUCUAAUCCCAUGCUUCUAACUUAGUGAUUUGCAAGCGCUGCCAGGUGCUUGUUAUACCACUGUGGGCCACUAGAGGGAGAAUAACUUAUUUUUAAUUUACAAUGUUGACCUUCUUUGUAGUGGCAGUUGGUCCCUGACCCUUUUUAACAGCUCCCAGAAGUACCCCCAAUAAUACCAGCAGUGACUCCUCAGUGACCUGUGUCCCAAUUCUGCAAGUGUCUCCUAAGUCUGCCUUCUGAUAGCCUGAAUUCCUGAUCUUGUCUCCCCAGCUCUAAGAAGGAGGUUGACUGGGAUGAAGAACUUUCUGAAAUCCACCAGGGAACCAGAAGCAAGUAACAGUGGUGCUUCGGAAUGAACUAGAGAGCCUAAGAAAAUGGCAAGACUGGUUUUCUUACUCUGCUCAAGUCAAAACCAGAGUUUCUGUGGUAACAACUUUGUCUCAGAGGAAGAGGAUGGAAAGAAGUCUGGGGUCUAGGCAGGAGUUCCUACAGACCCUGAUCACAUGAUUUUCCCAGGAUCCAAAGGAAGAUAGCAAUGAGAUGUUAUGGUGAUAAAGAAGAUUAUAUGGAAGAAGUGAUUUCAUUUACUUUAUUAUAGAAGCCCCUCUCCAGUUCAAGUCGUCUGUCAGUCCACUUCAGUCUCAAACACUGACAGGUCAUAGCACAAAUGACUCUAAAGUCAUUAAUUCAGUCACUUCCCUUUCUGACAAUACCUUUCUACUUUUCAAUCUUUCUUCUCAAGGUAUCCCUUAUAAACUGACCCAUGUUCUCUCACUCCAGGAUACAAAGCUGUGCUGCCUUCUCUGGCCUGUCUUGGAUUAAAUGUGGCCAAAACACAAAGAUGUCAUUUUAAGACAAGAAUUUUUAACAAGCACCUAUAAAGAACUAUAGAGAUGGCUCUAAAAGUGUGACUGUGCUUGCAGACGACCUAAGUUCAAGUCUGUGCACUCAUGUCAGGGUCACAACUCCCUAUAACUCCAGCUUCAGAACUGCACUCCCAGGCACUCACCCACAAGCAGAUACAUGCAUAUAAUUUAUUUUUUUAAAACUUGGAGGAGGGGGAGAAUGAAACAAGGUUUCUUUAUGUAGCCCUGUUGUCCUGGAAUUCACUUUAUAGACCAGGCCAACCUUGAACUUGGAGAUCCACCUGCCUCUGCUUUUUUAAUGUUAAGAAUAAUGGUGUAGACACUGGGUUUAAAAAAAAAAAAAUCUUAAAUCUUUAUCGAGACCGAAUCACUAUUCCUAGAUCUUCUUUUGUCUAUAUCUUCUUAGUGCUAUAGUUUCAAAUGUCUUUCUUGGUGGGAUGGUGAGAGCAUUGUAUUUGGAAAAGGCUAAUAAAUAUAUGAAGAACGAAUAAAGAAGCUAAACAUUGCA